rnacentral:lncRNA from 1 species
AUUUUUUUAAAUAUAUAUAUAUAUAUAUAUAUAUUUUUGAUUAUCAGGGAACCCAGCUAAAAAUUUGGCUCUUGGGUAUAUCAAUGGUAUAUCAAUGGUAUAUCAAUGCCAUUCCCUGAUACCAACAAGAAAUAAGGUAACCCAGCUAAAAAUUUGGCUCUGAUACCAACAAAUCCGCAAAUCCGGCUGCUUAGGUGUCCGAAGGUCUAAGCGAGAGGGGACUGGUUAUCCGCACCUCAGGAUCGUGACAACUUGCGGUACCACUUAAUUCUGUUUUACGGGCUGAAUCGAUUUGUGCCUCACGACACGCCCAACCUACCCCAUUGAAGGGCUGACGNNNN